GGAAGGAGUCGAAUGUGUAAAGUCUGAGCUCUAGAGGAGGGAAAUAUCCAUUCUUGGUGCCCAUUUCACUGAUUGCAGCGUCCCAUAAAUCUACCAAGGAGACGGCCAAGUCGAGGCUAUUAAUGGAAUCAGCAGAAGUCCGGAGGGAAAUGCAGCCCAGAACCAGCCCAAGAAACUGUCACGAAGGGAGGGAGAUUGACAUGGAGUGGAUCAGGGACCUCUCAUUGCUUUGAAAGGAACUUAGAGGACCGCUGGGGGCAGGGAGCUGUAAUCCUGGGGACUUUCCCUGGGCUUGCUGGGGAGUUUCAGAUUGACCCUGACGGAGAGCAGAACAUCACCGCUUGUUGUUCUACAGAGUGCUGGGUGGGGCUGAUGCUGCCACAGAGUGAACCAAGUUAGCUAAGGCACGACCAUCAAGUCAAUAACCAGAAGAAAAGAUUUACUGUAUCAGAUCAGGCCUUUGUCCUUCUGGACUCCCAGUGCUGUGUGCCCCCCGAGAGGACCAUGGGAAAAGAAACCUAAUCUCUUCAGACACUAUUGCAAGCUCUUCGGGGCAGGGGCUGUUUAUCACAUGUUUGUACAGCACCCUACACAAUGGGGCUGGAUCUGGUUUGAAGCUACCGCCCUUUUAAUGCUUGUCCAGAUGAGAGACAGCCACAUUGCGUUCUGUUGCAUCAUACAGUGCAAGCUGUGGGCUCACCAGCAUAAUGAUUACUUUCCCACUGCCCAGACACCGCUGAGAUUCAGAAGAGGCCCUUCCGCACUCCAGCAGGAGCCUGGGAUUUCGGACCGUCAUUGACUGGUCAAAAAGGAAGCGUUUCUGUGAGGAACUGAGGGUGGACAUCCUGGAGACGGCCAACCAGCAGAGGAAAGGGUCUCAGCCCGUGGAAAGGUGGCAGGGCUGCAGCGUGGGAGGAGAGACUUUGCAGCACGGUUUCUGGAGCAGGACAGUCACUUCAGGGACAAAGAGAGCAUGCAGCAAAAAGACCUCUUUGAGUGGCUGCUUGCACUAAUGGCCACAGGGCUUCUGCCCCACGCCCUGAGUGCCCUCCAUGGUGCCAUGUUUUGCGGGCCAGGAAUGCAUUGGACAAUAUCAUGGUUGGGGGCCCAUGCAGCUUGGACAGGGCAAAUGUGCUCCCGGCAGUCCUCCACGUGCCUUCAGCAGCUCCACGUAGGUGGUAGAAAGGAGGAGAAAGGGAGCUCGGGGACAUGCAAAGGUAGGCAAUUUAUCUGUUUGCACUGUUUAUCGUUUGUGUAAUGCAAUUUCUCUCAUUACUGGUUUGGGUGUUGGCUGAUUACUGGUGUUUUGGUGUUGGGGUGGCAGCUGGCCUGCCUGACAGUGCUUCAUAUUGGGUGACAUUACCAUGGACUGUAGCUGCUAGGCAACAUGGCCACUGACUCGCCAUUGGGCGACAUAGCCUGGAGUAUCAUCAGUAGGCAGUACUGCUGGCCUUGGACUCAAAAACUUUUUCGCCAGGAGGGUGGUGAAGCACUGGAAUGUGUUACCUAGGGAGGUGGUGGAAUCUUCUUCCUUAGAAGAUUUUAAGGUCAGGCUUGACAAAGCCCAGGCUGGGAUGAUUUAGUUGGGGAUUGGUCCUGCUUUGAGCAGGGGGUUGGACUAGAUGACCUCCUGAGGUCUCUUCCAACCCUGAUAUUCUAUGAUUCUACGAAAACACCCUUUGACAGACCGGAUCCAGAAAUUCUAAACUAGGGUCACUUUUCAGUGUGGAUGCACAAGCCUGGGUUUACAAACGUUACGCUGGCGGGCUCAAGUCCCACUGACAUUGGGAUUACAUUGUGGGGCAGACAUUCCCAAAGGCUCUGAUCCUGCACAUGCCUGCUUAAUUUGACUCACAUGAUCCAUCUCAUUUAGGUCAAGGGAAGUCCAUGCAGCCUUACAGUGAAGUCUCUGAGCAAGUGGCUUCAGGAUCAGGGCAUGAGACAGGCAGGGCUCCCACAUUUCACAGCCAAGCCAUCGGGGGAGAGAUUUUUUUAAGAUCAGGUACAUGUUACUGUGAGACAACAUAGUAACUAAUAAAGUACAAAUAUAUGACAGACCAUCUCUGUGUAGUUUAACUUGGCUCUGCGCGUGGAUACAGACCCAGUCAUGUGCUCUGUAAUACGCCGAAUGACUGCCCCAGAUGGCGAGCAAAGCGGGGCUGGAAUCGGGGCUCAGAACAGGACGGUGUUCUACCAGGGCAAAAGGACAG